UACGGGGGGGUGCGAGCGUUGUCCGGAAUCACUGGGCUUAAAGCGCGUGUAGGCGGGGUGGCACGUCGGUCGCUGAAAGCCCCCGGCUCAACCGGGGAAGGGGCGCCGAUACGACCACCCUGGAGGGACGUAGGGGGACCUGGAACUUCCGGUGGAGCGGUGAAAUGCGUUGAGAUCGGAAGGAACGCCCGUGGCGAAAGCGAGGUCCUGGACGUUUACUGACGCUGAGACGCGAAAGCCAGGGGAGCGAACGGG
rnacentral:rRNA from 1 species